GAUGAACGCUGGCGGCGUGCCUAAUACAUGCAAGUCGAGCGAACAGACGAGGAGCUUGCUCCUCCGACGUUAGCGGCGGACGGGUGAGUAACACGUGGAUAACCUACCUAUAAGACUGGGAUAACUUCGGGAAACCGGAGCUAAUACCGGAUAAUAUAUUGAACCGCAUGGUUCAAUAGUGAAAGACGGUUUUGCUGUCACUUAUAGAUGGAUCCGCGCCGCAUUAGCUAGUUGGUAAGGUAACGGCUUCCCAAGGCGACGAUGCGUAGCAGACCUGAGAGGGGGAUCGGCCACACGGGAACUGAGACACGGUCCAGACUCCUACGGGAGGCAGCAGUAGGGAAUCUUCCGCAAUGGGCGAAAGCCUGACGGAGCAACGCCGCGUGAGUGAUGAAGGUCUUCGGAUCGUAAAACUCUGUUAUUAGGGAAGAACAAAUGUGUAAGUAACUAUGCACGUCUUGACGGUACCUAAUCAGAAAGCCACGGCUAACUACGUG
rnacentral:rRNA from 1 species